UACGAAGGUGUCUAACGUUGUCCGGAAUAACUGGGCGUAAAGGGCGCGUAGGCGGCCGCGUAAGUCAGAUGUGAAAGCUCCGGGCUCAACCCGGGAAUUGCAUUUGAAACUGCGUGGCUCGAGUUCGGUAGAGGAGGGCGGAAUUCCUGGUGUAGCGGUGAAAUGCGUAGAUAUCAGGAGGAACACCCGUGGCGAAGGCGGCUCUCUGGUCCGAUACUGACGCUGAGGCGCGAAAGCUAGGGUAGCAAACAGG
rnacentral:rRNA from 1 species